GUGAAUUGGUAUGAAACAAAUAUUUAUUGAAGUCAGAGUGAGGUGAUAAAAUAGAUGAACUUAAUAGAAACAAUUGGUAUAUAUGUACAGAAUACUGUUUCACGAGUCAUUUAGAUGACAUCUGAUGUACUUCAGAUUCAGAUGUCAUAGUUUACACAAUGUCAAAAAACAAAAUACAUACUAAUGAGAAUGUUUUGUAGAAAGUAGAGAUUCUAAAAGAAGAAAAACAGGGCUAACAAAAUGGACACCAAGGUUCUGCUUGCUUCUACAACUGUGUUGAUCACUUAGCUUAAUGUCUCAUGUGUUGAAAUCUUAAAACUAUGUGCAUAUACAAAGGUGUAGAACAUGUUCCAAUAUAAGACUGAGGCCGAGAAGGCCAUACAUUAAUCAAGCUGAAAUGUAUGUAAGCUACAAAAGAUUCCAGCGACCUCUACAUUGGUAAAAGGCAGCCCCUUAAAUAGAAUAAGCAGGAUACAUCUUGUUGCCUCAAAAGUCGAAAUCAUCAGGGCGAAGGUCAACAAAGGUUUGAUAAGCGAGGCAAAGCGGAGAACACUUGACAAAGUAUGUGCAAUGUCUGAGAAGGCGAACUCCUCCAGAACUCCUUAUGUUAGUAGUGGAAAAACGUUAUAAAGAAAAACUGGCUGCGGGAGCAUGAAUCAUGGUCUGUUGAUACGUUGCCGUGUUCGAAUCCACUGUCUAACUGCAGAAGCUUCGGACAUAAUAAUCUUCAUUUCAAAAGGAAAAGAAAUGUUGGGGGGGGGGGGGGAAAUUG